rnacentral:rRNA from 1 species
UAGAGUUUGAUCAUGGCUCAGAUCGAACGCUGGCGGCAGGCCUAACACAUGCAAGUCGAGCGGAAACGACACUAACAAUCCUUCGGGUGCGUUAAUGGGCGUCGAGCGGCGGACGGGUGAGUAAUGCCUAGGAAAUUGCCUUGAUGUGGGGGAUAACCAUUGGAAACGAUGGCUAAUACCGCAUAAUGCCUACGGGCCAAAGAGGGGGACCUUCAGGCCUCUCGCGUCAAGAUAUGCCUAGGUGGGAUUAGCUAGUUGGUGAGGUAAUGGCUCACCAAGGCGACGAUCCCUAGCUGGUCUGAGAGGAUGAUCAGCCACACUGGAACUGAGACACGGUCCAGACUCCUACGGGAGGCAGCAGUGGGAAUAUUGCACGAUGGGCGAAAGCCUGAUGCGGCCAUGCCGCGUGUAUGAAGAAGGCCUUCGGGUUGUAAAGUACUUUCAGUUGUGAGGAAGGGGGUAACGUUAAUAGCGUUAUCUCUUGACGUUAGCAACAGAAGAAGCACCGGCUAACUCCGUGCCAGCAGCUGCGGUAAUACGGAGGGUGCGAGCGUUAAUCGGAAUUACUGGGCGUAAAGCGCAUGCAGGUGGUUCAUUAAGUCAGAUGUGAAAGCCCGGGGCUCAACCUCGGAACUGCAUUUGAAACUGGUGAACUAGAGUGCUGUAGAGGGGGGUAGAAUUUCA